UUAUCUUCCCGUAGAAGAUCAAUAACUUCCUUAGGAGCCUCGUAAAAAACUUGUAAACUUGAUUUUUAACUUAGGCUGAGCUUUGCAAUGCGGCCACCAAAUUCCGAUGUCUUGGGGUAUGCUUAAUCUUCCACUGUCUUUCUUCUCUCAUAAUGCGCUAAACUCUUCUGAGGACAGUAAUCCUGAAAUCCUCCAAAUUCGGUGUGAACAAAAUCGAGAUUUUCCUAAAACACUUAUUAAGCAAAAUAAGAAUUGGAAAAUCCUACUAUCCAGUUUCCUUCGUGGUCUGUAGCCACACCUCCUGUGGCAGCAAAAGGCAAACAUAUUUUAAACCGAAAAAAGUAGAUUUUCAUCGCAUGGAAUUAUAAGAUUACUUAGAUCACUAGUUUUAACAUGUCAAUUCUCCAAAUUUAUAUAUUAAAGGUUUAAAUGAACAUUUUUAGCAUUGAUUAACUGAGAGGUUAAUGAGUUUAUUUAAAAAAUUAGGAGGUUGGUAACAUUUAGCGAUAACCACCCUAAUAGUAUUUGGGCAUUGAAUCUAAAAUUCAUAAUUAUUGUAAGUUUAACCCAAGUUAUUUGUCUUAAAACUUUUGUUCUUUUCAUCCCUUAAAAUUUGACAAAUCACAAAAAAGAAUCAUAGAUGUAAGGAAAGAUUCAUAAUGGAACGAUUGGGGAUUGAAAUUAACUCCAUUUCUAUGACAUGAAAUGAAGGUUUAAACCAAACAAGCCUCCUAAUGCUUGUAAUUUUGAUUACAUUUUAAUGAUGAUAUAUUGACUGAUUCCUUCUCGUUUUUGCAAUAAAUAAGCAGAAUAUAAGCUAUAAUGAAUAUCUAUCACUUGCGGAUGAUAAAAACAAAGAUGUAACAGCCCUUGAACUACUUUCUCGACUGCAGGUUUGUUUCAAAUUUAACAUAAUUUUCUUUUACUCAUGGAACCUUAAAACAAUGUUGAGAAGAAGUUACGAAAAAAGACCAUUGCCAUAACUUAAUCACUCGCCAAUUAAGUACUUGUGGACGGAUGAUCAAUCAACUCGGUUAUGACUCGCCAAAUUGACUGACUAAUUCCAUUAUUGACUUUUAUUUAUUCAUUUUAAGCCAAAGUUUGUAUUAUGAUGAAUUUAUCGCGAAUUUCUGUACAUCAUCCUGAAACUAAAAAAUAUAUAUAUUUAAGUUCAGAAAACAUACUACAUAAAUGCAUCAUAUAUUUUCAAAAACUGAAAAUGAAAAAAAGUUCAAAUGAAUAACGAAAAGAAGGAAAAAUUUUCAACUAGAAAAUUAAGAUUUAAAAAAUAAAGAAUAUCCAGAAAGAAUGAGAGAGAACAUUUGAAUCAGAAAGAACGUAGCGAAGAGGUUUAUUUGAUCAUAUGAAUAAAGUAGAUCAUCACCCGUCCAUUCCUUUCAUCAUCUUCAUCAUCAAAUCGAGCAGAAAGACAGUAAAAAAAAUGGAAAGCGCUUCGAAAUGUUUUCAAACGGAAAAGGAAAAUUAAAGCAAAUCUGAGAGUGAAAACCCUAAGCAAGCAAAGAUUUAUAGAAU
rnacentral:lncRNA from 1 species